AUACGUGUAGCUUAGUCGGUAGAGCAUCAGACUUUUAAUCUGAAGGUCCAGGGUUCGAGUUUCUGUUCGGGCG
rfam:Macrostomum lignano uti_cns_0006172, whole genome shotgun sequence.